CGCGUUUGAAUCCGCACAUGCGUGUUUGGACAAGACAGUCUAACUGCGCACUUUGGAUCUGAGACGAAUUGGCGGGCUGCUGCGUGGCUGCUUUCUGUCGUGUUUGAGAUCAAGGAGGAAUUCAGGAGAAUCGAUCAUGGGGCAGAGAUUCAUGUUCAGACUUGACCAAUGCACAUCAAGACUUAUUGCCCUGAUGAAGGCCAUGGGAGGUGUUGUGGGGACCAACUGAGGCCAUUUCUGGACAAACUGAGUCAGACACAAAGCCUUGAGAUGGGAAUCAGUUAUCCGCAGCCUCAUUCUCUACUUUGACGAUAAAGAAGAUGAUAAACUGUGUUUUGAAGAUGAACAGAGUUCUGACGGGCUCGGGACGACAUGAGGGUGAGUCAUUAAUGACAUCAUUUUCAUUUUCACAAUCACGAAACGU